rnacentral:rRNA from 1 species
CCUACGGGAGGCAGCAGUGAGGAAUAUUGGUCAAUGGGCGGGAGCCUGAACCAGCCAAGCCGCGUGAGGGAAGAAGGUCCAGCGUAUUGUAAACCUCUUUUGUCAGGGAACAAAGGCGGGGACUAGUCCCCGGAUGUGGGUACCUGAAGAAAAAGCAUCGGCUAACUCCGUGCCAGCAGCCGCGGUAAUACGGAGGAUGCGAGCGUUAUCCGGAUUUAUUGGGUUAAAAGGGUGCGCAGGGGGCCUGUUACGUCAGCGGUAAAAGCCCGGGGCUCAACCCCGGCGAGCCGUUGAAACUGGCGGGCUGGAGUGGGAGAGAAGUACGCGGAAUGCGCGGUGUAGCGGUGAAAUGCGUAGAUA